rnacentral:rRNA from 1 species
AUUGAACGCUGGCGGAAUGCUUUACACAUGCAAGUCGAACGGCAGCACGGGGCAACCUGGUGGCGAGUGGCGAACGGGUGAGUAAUACAUCGGAACGUGCCAAAUCGUGGGGGAUAACGUAGCGAAAGUUACGCUAAUACCGCAUACGAUCUACGGAUGAAAGCGGGGGAUCGCAAGACCUCGCGCGAAUGGAGCGGCCGAUGUCAGAUUAGGUAGUUGGUGGGGUAAAGGCUCACCAAGCCAACGAUCUGUAGCUGGUCUGAGAGGACGACCAGCCACACUGGGACUGAGACACGGCCCAGACUCCUACGGGAGGCAGCAGUGGGGAAUUUUGGACAAUGGGGGCAACCCUGAUCCAGCCAUGCCGCGUGAGCGAAGAAGGCCUUCGGGUUGUAAAGCUCUUUCGGCCGGGAAGAAAUCGCACAGGCUAAUACCUUGUGUGGAUGACGGUACCGGAAUAAGAAGCACCGGCUAACUACGUGCCAGCAGCCGCAGUAAUAC